GAUGAACGCUGGCGGCGUGCCUAAUACAUGCAAGUCGAGCGAACGGACGAGAAGCUUGCUUCUCUGAUGUUAGCGGCGGACGGGUGAGUAACACGUGGAUAACCUACCUAUAAGACUGGGAUAACUUCGGGAAACCGGAGCUAAUACCGGAUAAUAUUUUGAACCGCAUGGUUCAAAAGUUAAAGACGGUCUUUCUGUCACUUAUCGAUGGAUCCGCGCUGCAUUAGCUAGUUGGUAAGGUAACGGCUUACCAAGGCAACGAGGCAUAGCCGACCUGGGAGGGUGAUCGGCCACACUGGAACGGAGACACGGUCCAGACUCCUACGGGAGGCAGCAGUAGGGAAUCUUCCGCAAUGGGCGAAAGCCUGACGGAGCAACGCCGCGUGAGUGAUGAAGGUCUUCGGAUCGUAAAACUCUGUUAUUAGGGAAGAACAUAUGUGUAAGUAACUGUGCACAUCUUGACGGUACCUAAUCAGAAAGCCACGGCUAACUACGUG
rnacentral:rRNA from 1 species